AAAGAGAGAAAAAGUAGGCAUAAAUAAAGGAAAAUUUAAAAUACAAUCUUUCCAAAAUUGGGCCUAAAGUCAAUAAAAAUAGAAUCUUUAGUCAUACAUUUGACUCUACCUCUGCUCUGUAUCCACGCGACCUUAAGCCGUGGGCACGGCUCAAUGGACAGAUUCUAGAAACUGGCCCAUAACAUGCAAAAUUCCAGCAUAUAGUUCAAAUAUUAGCCAAAAGCAUCCAAAAUCUCCACUUU
rnacentral:misc_RNA from 1 species